AUUGAACUCUGGCGGCAGGCCUACCACAUGCAAGUCGAACGAGUUGCGGACGGGUGAGUAAUGUCUGGGAAACUGCCUGAUGGAUGGGGAUAACUACUGGAAACGGUAGCUAAUACCGCAUACCAUCGGAUGUGCCCAGAGGGGAUUCGCUAGUAGGUGGGGUAAAGGCUCACCUAGGCGACGCUCCCUAGCUAGUCUGAGAGGAUGACCAUCAACACUGGAACUGAGACACGUUCCGGAUUCCUACGGGGAGCAGCAGUGGGGAAUAUGGCACAAUGGGCGCAAGCCUGAUGCAGCCAGGCCGCGUGUAUGAAGAAGGCCUUCGGGUUGUAAAGUACUGUCAGCGGGGAGGAGUUACCCGCAGAAGAAGCACCGGCUAACUCAGUGCCAGCAGCGGCGGUAAUUC
rnacentral:rRNA from 1 species